rnacentral:rRNA from 1 species
GACGAACGCUGGCGGCGUGCUUAACACAUGCAAGUCGAACGGAAAGGCUCCAGCUUGCUGGAGUACUCGAGUGGCGAACGGGUGAGUAACACGUGGGUAAUCUGCCCUGCACUCUGGGAUAAGCCUGGGAAACUGGGUCUAAUACUGGAUAUGACCUUUCCCCUUAUGGGGUUUGGUGGAAAGUUUUUCGGUGUAGGAUGAGCCCGCGGCCUAUCAGCUUGUUGGUGGGGUGAUGGCCUACCAAGGCGACGACGGGUAGCCGGCCUGAGAGGGUGAUCGGCCACAUUGGGACUGAGAUACGGCCCAGACUCCUACGGGAGGCAGCAGUGGGGAAUAUUGCACAAUGGGCGGAAGCCUGAUGCAGCGACGCCGCGUGAGGGAUGACGGCCUUCGGGUUGUAAACCUCUUUCAGCAGGGACGAAGCGUAAGUGACGGUACCUGCAGAAGAAGCACCGGCUAACUAGGUG